rnacentral:rRNA from 1 species
CCUACGGGUGGCAGCAGUGGGGAAUAUUGGGCAAUGGAGGCAACUCUGACCCAGCAACGCCGCGUGAAUGAUGAAGGGCUUCGGAUUGUAAAGUUCUGUGAUGGGGGAUGAACACAAUGACGGUACCCCAAUAGCAAGCCACGGCUAACUACGGGCCAGCAGCCGCGGUAAUACGUAGGUGGCAAGCGUUAUCCGGAAGGACUGGGGGUAAGGGGUGCGUAGGUGGUUUAGUAAGUUGGCGGUGAAAUGCCGGGGCUCAACCUGGGCGGUACCGCCAAAAAUGUUGGACUAGAGUGCGGGAGGGGUAAGUGGAAUUCCUAGUGUAGCGGUGGAAUGCGUAGAUAUUAGGAGGAACAUCAGGGGCGAAGGCGACUUACUGGACUGUAACUGACACUGAGGCACGAAAGCGUGGGGAGCGAACAGGAUUAGAUACCCGGGUAGUC